rnacentral:lncRNA from 10 species
CUGCUAACUCUGGAAUACUCUAAAGUUUUAUCAUUUUCUCUUGAUGCCUCCAGGUCUCUGAAUGCUCUAAUCUCCCUCCUGGCUGACAGUACGGGCUCCCCAGUGUACAGUAACUAUUUUUCCUGUAUCGAGAGAGCAUAUGGAGAGAAGAAGGAAAACACAUGUUUCUAAUUUCACUGACACUGGAGCAAGAGAUACUGGAGAUCUCUCUGCAUCCUGGCACCAAACCCAAACCAGUAACUCUGGGACAUUCUUGACUGAGGGUUAACCUCAGAAACCUGGUAAUCCAUAUGAUCCCACAGCUAUGCCUCAUGGCCCAAAGGGCAGGAUUUCAUCUCCACCGUCCUUUUCUUCAACGUGAAGGGCUGUUGACCCUACUCACAGAGGGCUCUGUGUUGAACCAAGGUGCUUCAUGCAACAGUCCCAGCUGAGCUCCCAGCAGAUGCCAGCACCAUUCGCUAUCCAUGAUAAGCCUCUGAUGCAAUCACUUGUGUUAAGAAAUUGAGAGAAUGUUGAUAUAAACUGCUCCCUGAGCCAUAUGGAAAGCUGUAUCUUCUGCAGGUUGCUUGGUGUAUGAAGGAGAUGGGCUUUGAGGAUCUGGGUCGUGAUGGCUGCUGAAGCUUCUACUUCAGAUUUGAAGGGCAGCAGUCCUAAGGAGACCCCCAACACUUCCAUCCCUGGUGGGAUAUGAUGCCUGGCUCAAGUGAGCUCAUAGAUCUGGACAGAAGCAUGUUGUGGAAUACCUCUGUGAGGUUUAUAAUAUAGUCUAAAAGCAGAGAAACUCCUUUGAUCCCAUCUUUGGAGAAGAGGUUUAGCAUGUGGAAUUUCCUUUCAUCAGCAGCUAUGUGCUUUGAAGCCGCCCUUGAGGCCCAUGUUUAAAAUGCCUUUCGUUGUUACAAAGCAAUGAAUAAUUCAUU